rnacentral:rRNA from 1 species
ACUCCUGCGGGAGGCAGCAGUGGGGAAUAUUGGACAAUGGGCGCAAGCCUGAUCCAGCCAUGCCGCGUGAGUGAUGAAGGCCCUAGGGUUGUAAAGCUCUUUCACCGGUGAAGAUAAUGACGGUAACCGGAGAAGAAGCCCCGGCUAACUUCGUGCCAGCAGCCGCGGUAAUACGAAGGGGGCUAGCGUUGUUCGGCUUUACUGGGCGUAAAGCGCACGUAGGCGGACUAUUAAGUCAGGGGUGAAAUCCCGGGGCUCAACCCCGGAACUGCCUUUGAUACUGGUAGUCUUGAGUUCGAGAGAGGUGAGUGGAAUUCCGAGUGUAGAGGUGAAAUUCGUAGAUAUUCGGAGGAACACCAGUGGCGAAGGCGGCUCACUGGCUCGAUACUGACGCUGAGGUGCGAAAGCGUGGGGAGCAAACAGGAUUAGAAACCCCAGUAGUCCCAUG